UUUUUUUUGGAUAAUUCCUUCAAAUUUAAUUUACUUAUUAAUAUUAUUAUUAUUAUUAUUUUACAAAAAUAAAUAUAUCAAUUACCAUUUCCUCUAGUCAUUUACAUUUCUCAGCAAUUAUACUAAAAUCACGAGAAUUGCAUUAUUUUGCAUAGAUAAAAAACUGCUCUAAUUGAUAUGUGAGAAGGUGGUAAUAUUAAUUUUUAAUUAAUUUAAAAAUUAAAAAAUAAUUAAAAUUGUAAAACUUCACCAAUUAACUAAUAAUGAAAUUUCAGAAGUACAAAAAUAUAUGCUUGCACUAAUGCUUCAUCAUAAAGAAUUUGGAGGGGUAUGCCACAUGAUCAUAAUAUGUAUCAACUUAAUUGUAGCUUCAUUUUUUAAUGUUGAGUUGUAACUACCAAUAAUUAUAAUGAGCAAUAUGAAAAGGAUAGUAAAUUCCUAAUUGUAAUAAUUAAGGAAUCAAUUUUUACAUUAAUUACUUAGAAAAUAGAAAAAACCAAAAAACAGAGGGAAAAAUAAGUUAGGUAUUGUAUUAAAAUGUAAAAAUAAAUAAUAAUUAUAUGAACUAAAAGAGAUAUUUUUUAUAUAACUUUAAAGAGGCCAAAUAAUUACAUAAAUAUAAAUUUAUGGCCUUAUAUGCUAUUUGUCUUCUUCUUUUCUUUUCAAAACAAAAAAUUACAAAUAAUAUUUUUUUUUCACUCAAAUACUCUAUUUUAUUGUCAAUUUUUUUAAUUUAAUGCUUGAACAAAUAGGGUAUUGAAUAUUUUUUUUUUUUUGAAAAAUAGCCAACAAGCUAAGUGCUAAAGCUAUAAUUUGGACAUAUUCAUUUUCUUUUAAUUUUAGCUUAUUUUUAUACUCUUCUGACCUAAAGGUAAAUGUUUAAAAAUAAUUUUUUUCUUCAAACAACAAAAAAAUAAAAAUAAAAAGGAGCUUAAAAGCUAAAAAUACGUAAAAUAAAUUAAUUUAAAAACUCUCGAAGUUCUUGAAGUUAUUAAAUUUUCAUUCUUCAAAAUGCUUCUAACGAUCGUUUUUUACCUCAUUAUCGAAUUUAGAAAUUAGGAAUGCACUAACAUGCAAAAAAAAUAAUAACAUCAAGCACAUAAUGUUCAUUUUAGAAUGUUGCAAAAAAUAUCACAAUAAAAAUUUAUAAAAUCUAAUCCCAACUUAACAUAAUGAAAUAUGUAUGUACAACUAUAGUCAUAUGAAAGAAAGGAAAAAAAAUAAAAGGAGUUCAUUUCUCUUUUUCAACAUUCUAUUUUAUCUUAUCUAUUAUCCUAUUCUUGUCGUCAUUAUGUUUCUAAAAUACAAUUUUAAGAAAUAACAAGAGAAAAAGGUAUCACGCUAAAAAUUAUCAAAAUCUAAUUAUAACCUAACACAAUGAAAUAUGUAUGUACAAUUAUAGUCAUAUGAAAAAGAAAAAAUAAAAGGAGGUCAUUUCUCUUUUUCGUUACUACUCUAGUCAUUCAUUACAAUUAUUUAUUCUUUAUUACCUUCACUUUUUUUUUUCUCAUUGACAUUAAUUUUACAGUUACAACUACAUAAUACAUAAAAAUAAAUUAAUUAUCAUUAAGAUUAUGUUAUAAUAAUUUCUCUUAUGUGGGUUGUCUCAAACAAAUAGUGAAUUGGGUUCUAUUGCAAAAGAUCUAUUUUAAGGAUAAUUUUGAUUUAUUUUAUGAAAUUUUUAAUAAUCUAUUUAUUUAGUAGAUUAUGUAAAAAAAUAAAAAAAAUAAAGGUUUCACGUCAUCUUAUCUAUAUUUCUUCUUUAUAUCUAUUUUUAGUAUAACGACAAAUAAAAGUGAACAAAUUAUAUAGUAAUUUAAACUAUAUAAAGAAGGCAAAAAAGAAUACAUAUAUAAUUUUAAAAAAAGACACUCAUCUCAAGUGGUUCUUAUGUUCUUCUCCUAAAAUCUUUACAUAGUCAUCAUUUCAUCUUUACUUCAUUUGUUCACUAUUUGAUCUUUUCUCAUCCCUGUAAAAAAUAAUACAUCACAAAAAUUAAUAUAUUAUUAAAAAAAUGAUAAGAAAAUAGAUUUAAAUUAUACAUGUUCUUGCUUAAAAGUUACAAACAAUAUAAGAUAACAAUAACAACAAAUUUAAUGUAAUCUCAUGUAUGAGUUUAGCAAAUCAAUUAAAUGUCAAAGGAACAAUGCAAAAAAUGAUGGGGGAAAGAAGACUUAUAAUACUUCUAUUUAUAAGACAACAAUAUGGAAUAUCAAAGAUAUCAUGAACAUGACUAUUAAUAUAAUUUAGGAGUUAUGAUCAUCAAAGGUCAUGAGAGUAAUGAUAAAGAAAUAUUUAAUUUUUAUAUUAAAGAAUAAAAAUAAAUGAAGGAGUAGUAAUUGAUUCAUUCAUUUUGGUUAUUAAGAAAAUUGAUUGAUUAAUGAAAAAAAAGAAAAAAAAAAGUUCAAAAAAACCACAAAAAAGAUAAAGAACAUUGGAGGUUUCUAAGAUAUGACACAUAGGAUUGCCUAAAGUUUUCCUUUACAUAUAUAUAUUGAUUGGGUGACUCAUAUGAUAUUAAUGGGCGAUAUAUAUGGUAUUAUGGUGAUUCAUAUGGUAGAUAGAAUUAUUUAUUUCAAUUAUUGGAUGAUUCAUAUAUUAUUAAUGAAAGGUAAUGGUGUAGUCAGUGUAGGAAACAAAAGUAAUAAUAUUUUAAAAAAAAGAGACUAAAAGAAGAAUUGAAACAUAAUUAAAAUUAAAUCUAAAAAAACAGACUAAAAUUUAAGACGAAAAAAAGAGAAAAAAGACCCAAAAAAAUAUAUCUUUCAUAAUUAAAAACGAAAAAGAGAAACAUAAUUAAAACACUUAAAUUAAAUCUAAAAAAGAGAAAAAUUAGAUAUUUUUGCUUAAAUUAAAGAAUAUAAUGAAUAAAAGAGAAUCUAUUAUUUUCUUAAAUAAAUAUCUUAUUAGUUUUAAAUGUAUCACUUUUUUAUAUGUAUCAUCAUAUAAUAUAUGUAUCACUAUUUUAAAAAAUCGGGAUAAAAUAUAAUUAAUAAAAUAAUCAAAAUUUUAUGUAAUAUCACUUAAAAAUUUAGGGAUUUAUGGAAGUUACCUUGAAUUAACUUACAGUCAAUUCUUGAUCAAAAUUUUCUUCUGUCUUCUUAUUCUAAAUUGUUCGGUAAUGAAUUGAGCUUUUCUGUUGCUUUCUCAUAUUAGUCUACUUUGCCUCCGUAAA
rnacentral:lncRNA from 1 species